UUUUUUAUGGUGUAACUAAACACAUUACAUUUUCGAUGUAAAGAUGAAGACCUCUAUUUCUUCUAAAAAUG
rnacentral:tRNA from 1 species